GGGGAUGUAGCUCAGGUGGUAGAGCACUUGCCUUGCAUGCACAAGGCCCUGGGUUCAAUCCCCAGCACCACA
rnacentral:tRNA from 1 species